rnacentral:rRNA from 1 species
UACGAGGGGAGCUAGCGUUAUUCGGAAUUACUGGGCGUAAAGCGCACGUAGGCGGCUUUGUAAGUAAGGGGUGAAAGCCCAGAGCUCAACUCUGGAGUUGCCUUUUAGACUGCAUCGCUUGAAUCCAGGAGAGGUGAGUGGAAUUCCGAGUGUAGAGGUGAAAUUCGUAGAUAUUCGGAAGAACACCAGUGGCGAAGGCGGCUCACUGGACUGGUAUUGACGCUGAGGUGCGAAAGCGUGGGGAGCAAACAGG